UAUUAAAAUUUUCCGCAGGUGUUUUCCAUUGCCUUGUCACCCGAAAUUCAACCUGCCUAAACAAAAAUCCUCUAAAGCCGCUCACGUCUAACGUGGUUUGUUUAUAGAUAAGUUCAGAUUUAUUAUUUGUCAACUGACACCAUGUACACAGGUUUUCUACUGUGCGUGUUAGUUGCAAGUGUGCGCGUCAAUGGAAACUCUCCUCUUUCUCAACGCGUGCUCAGCCGAUUAGACCAG